UUUAGAUGGAAAAAAACGCACGUUUCGUCUCCCUCUCACUCUCACCUUCUUCCUCCUAAAUUCUAAAUCAACUCCUCCCUCGAAGAUCAUGGAGGCCACCAUCAAUCCAAUCUCAUAUUGACUGCUUUUCCAAUAGAAUUGUUUAAAUAUUCGGAGGAUUGUUUGUUGAUAGCAAGAUUGAAUCAAGGACUGCUAUUAGUUAUUC